UACGGAGGGUGCAAGCGUUAUCCGGAUUCACUGGGUUUAAAGGGUGCGUAGGUGGAUUGGUAAGUCAGUGGUGAAAUCUUUGGGCUUAACCCAAAAAUUGCCAUUGAUACUGCAGGGCUUGAGUACAGUUGCUGUGGGCGGAAUAUGACAUGUAGUGGUGAAAUACAUAGAGAUGUCAUAGAACACCGAUUGCGAAGGCAGCUCACAAAACUGUAGCUGACGCUGAGGCUCGAAAGUGCGGGGAUCAAACAGG
rnacentral:rRNA from 1 species